rnacentral:rRNA from 1 species
GACGAACGCUGGCGGCGUGCCUAAUACAUGCAAGUUGAGCGCUGAAGGUUGGUACUUGUACCAACUGGAUGAGCAGCGAACGGGUGAGUAACGCGUGGGGAAUCUGCCUUUGAGCGGGGGACAACAUUUGGAAACGAAUGCUAAUACCGCAUAAAAACUUUAAACACAAGUUUUAAGUUUGAAAGAUGCAAUUGCAUCACUCAAAGAUGAUCCCGCGUUGUAUUAGCUAGUUGGUGAGGUAAAGGCUCACCAAGGCGAUGAUACAUAGCCGACCUGAGAGGCUGAGAGGCGAAGCUGGGACGGAGACACGACCCAAAAUACUGCGGGUGGGAGCAGUAGGGAAUCUUCAGGAGUGGAAGAAAGUGUGACCGAGCAACGCCGCGUGAGUGCAGGAGGUAUCCAGAUCGUGAGAAUGUGUUAGUAGAGAAGAACGUUGGUGAGUGUGGAAAGCUCAUCAAGUGACGGUAACUGCAGAGAAAGCGACGGCUAACUACGUG